GGUCGAUCUGGCUCAGGACAAACGGCUGGCGGCGUGCCUAAGACAUGCAAGUCGGACGGAGGGUUCGGCCCUCAGUGGCGGACGGGUGAGGAGCGCGUGGAGAACCUGCCCGCGUCGGGGGAUACCAACCAGGAAAUGGUUGCUAAUACCGCAUACGAUGCCCACUCGGCAGGAGUGGGCAGGAAAGCCGCAAGGCGUCGUGGAGGGCUCCGCGUCGGAUUAGCUGGUUGUGGGGUAACGGCCUACCAAGGCUGCGAUCCGUAGCUGGUCUGAGAGGACGGCCAGCCACACUGGGACUGAGACACGGCCCAGACUCCUACGGGAGGCCAGCAGUUAGGGAAUUUUGACAAUGGGCGCAAGCCCUGAUCGAGUGACGCCGCGUGUGGGACGGAGCCCUUCGGGGUGUAAACCACUUUUCUCGGGGACGAGCUUUCGGACGGUACCCGAGGAAGAAGCCUCGGCUAACUACGUGCCAGCAGCUGC
rnacentral:rRNA from 1 species